UACAGAGGUCCCGAGCGUUGUUCGGAUUCACUGGGCGUAAAGGGUGCGUAGGUGGUGUGGUAAGUCGGAUGUGAAAUCUCCGGGCUCAACCCGGAAAUGGCAUUGGAAACUACCUUGCUAGAGGAUUUGAGGGGGGGAUUGGAAUACUUGGUGUAGCAGUGAAAUGCGUAGAUAUCAAGUGGAACACCAGUGGCGAAGGCGAAUCCCUGGAAAAUACCUGACACUGAGGCACGAAAGCUAGGGGAGCAAACAGG
rnacentral:rRNA from 1 species